AUUAAAAUUUCAUCUUUGCCAUUUGUGUGUUUCUCAUUGGACAAACUCAAAUUGUUUUGUACUUCCAUUCAACUUUUUGUCAUUUUUCGUUUCCCUCCAAUCAAUUUUAUACCCACUCCUCUGCAGAACUUCUUUUCAUCUUGGGGAACCACACAACAGAGGAACACUACCUCCGUCCAAAGCUUAGACAUCCGGUGCCUUUCAUGCGUUAUCCGCCGGUUAGGUUAUGCUUAUUAGGGUUUAGUGAAGCCACCAGCGCUGCCAACAGAGAAGAAGCAACAAUGGUCUUGGCAGGCAGGAUGCGAUAACGAAGUGUCCAACCUCAUUUCAUGGAAUUCGCGGUAUCGUCGUGACCAUUGAAAGAUAAGUAUUUUACAUGAUGCAAGUUACUGUAGAUUCUGGUGUUUUGUUUGCAACACUGAUGAGCAGGCACAAGGAUUGACUCUACUUAAGUUUUUCUAUUCAUAUACUGAGUGUAGAAACUGAAUACUUUGUUUGCUGGAUUGCUGAUUUUUUUGAACAUUUGAGUGAUAUGUUUUUGCACCAUGAUGAUGAGGAAGAUGAUGAUGUAGAAGGUAUGCCUUUAAAUAAGAUUAAUUGUUGUUGCUCUUGUGAUUUUCCCCCAUUUUGCAUUUGGCAAAUGUUUACAUAACUUAUAUAGGUAUUGCAUUCAUGUUCAACUCUACAUGGAUAAGUAUUUGCAAGUAUAAUUAUUAUCUACAUGGAUAAGUAUUUGCAAGUAUAAUUAUUAGUAUUUGGUUGCAUCAGAACUGUAGACCUCUUAUCAUCAUGACUGCAUCAUUCAAUGCCUAUCGUUGUUGUUGCUUCAUGUAUCCCACUGAUGUUUUGAGGAGAGUCAAAAUUCAGUCUUUAUUGGUUUGGCAUCACUCUAAUUUAUGAUAUGUAGCAGGUACUUUACGCGUGUACGUCGAGGGAGCAGACUGCUUAUUAUGCUAAGGUUUCGCUGAAUGAUGUUCCAAUUGCGCUUGAUAUUCUGGCUGAUAUUCUUCAGUAUUCAAAGUUUGAUGAGAAUCGGAUCAGCCGGGAGCGGGAUGUUAUUCUUAGGGAAAUGGAAGAGGUAUUAUAGGCUUUUGUUGGUGAAUAAUUUAUUAUUGAUUGUGUUCUACGUGAAAUAGAAAUGAUCUAUUGUAUUGUUGUACGAAUCUGUUUAACAUGUUUGAUUAAGGCUUUGUUAUGUGUGUUUGGGUUGAAUUUGCUGUGAAUAGUUUACAGGUUUAGUUAUGUGAUCAUGCGUUACAAUUAUUUUGUGGAUCGUUAAUUUUGAAUCAAUUAUUUUGGGACGGUUGGAGUAACAUCUAGAUAUGGAAGUUAGCCUGAUGGCUGUUUUUCUGUGUGGGUCUAAUUUACUAACUAUGUUCAUCCUUUGCUCUCAUACCUUUAUGGUUCACUUAACAAAUUGACGAUUUUUCCGUCUGGUUUUGAGGGGAAAAUAAAUAUGAAGGAUUUGAUUGCAAGGUUAUCAAAGAUGGGUGCAGUUGAUGAGUUGACGGAACAACAGACCUGACAGCUUCACUUUGAUCUCGAGUCUUCUUACACUUUCUUUAAGACUGCUCUGUCCAAUGCUAGCAAUUGACUGAGUGAGCGUAAUUUGAUGGUGCAAGUGAGCAUAAUUUACCUUUAUACGCAAGUGGAUCAUCUCGUGGUUGGAAGGAUUAAUAUCAUCGUAGAAGACUUGGUACGUAUUAUUGAAACAAGCUAUAAGUUUUACCAUAUUGCUUCAUCAGUCUCCUGAGGGCUAUAAGUUUUACCAUAUUGCUUCAUCAGUCUCCCGAGGGCUAUAAGUUUUACCAUAUUGCUUCAUCAGUCUCAUGAGGGCCAUGAUUUUAGUUCAUAAAUAACUCUUGGCCAGGCCACCGCAUAAUUUCAGAUAAUUAUAUUUGAAAAUAAACCCCCUCUUGGCCAGCCUUCUUGAAUGGUAUUCUCAGCCUGGUGAAGAUAAACCCCCUGUUCCUCUCCUCAAGGAUGUGUAUGCUUUGUUCAAGAUGUUUGAUGACUUGAUACUUCUGGGCAAAGACGGACAUCAGUAGCAUGUAUAAGUGUAGUAUAGGACAUCAGUAGCAUGUUUGAUGACUUGAUACUUCACAUGCAUACUUUUAUUUGUGCAUUGGUGUGAAGUAGCAUGUAUAAGUGUAGUAUAGGACAUCAGUAAAUUUAUGGGGCACAUUGAUAUGAUGAUAACAGGUAUAUCCUUACUGUUCAUUAUGCUUCUAAAACCUAUACAACUAAUUGUACUUGGUUUUUUAGUGACUUUUGAUUGCCCUCUAUAUGUAAGCAAUUCAUGAAUAA